UACGAAGGACCCAAGCGUUAUCCGGAUUUAUUGGGUUUAAAGGGUGCGUAGGCGGAUUAAUAAGUCAGUGGUGAAAGCCUCCCGCUUAACGGGAGAAUUGCCAUUGAUACUGUUAGUCUUGAGUAUGGUUGAGGUGGGCGGAAUGUGUCAUGUAGCGGUGAAAUGCUUAGAUAUGACACAGAACACCAAUUGCGAAGGCAGCUCGCUAAACCAUAACUGACGCUGAGGCACGAAAGCGUGGGGAGCAAACAGG
rnacentral:rRNA from 1 species